GAUGAAGAACGUAGCGAAAUGCGAUACUUGGUGUGAAUUGCAGAAUCCCGUGAACCAUCGAGUUUUUGAACGCAAGUUGCGCCCGAAGCCGUUAGGCCGAGGGCACGCCUGCCUGGGUGUCACACAUCGUUGCCCCAAUGCCAAUCGCCUCACUUUGUAGGUAUUUGCUUGGGGUGAAUGUUGGCCUCCCGUGAGCUUUGUCUCACGGUUGGUUGAAAAUCGAGUGCAUGGUGUCGGGUGUACCAUGAUGGAUGGUGGUUGAGUGAUGAUGCUCGGUGACCCACAUGCGUCCCUUGGAUGCUCCCUAAGGAGACCUCAGGUCAGGCGGGGCUACCCACUGAGUUUAAGCAUAUCAAUAAGCGGAGGA
rnacentral:misc_RNA from 1 species